AUGGCCGACGCACGUAAAGGUGUAGUAUCUGCUCUUAUCAGCGUAACUCCUGAUAUGGGUUGUAUUUGAACAUAAUAUAUUAAACUUAUUUUUACAACUUGGCGGUGUGCUUAUAGCCUACUUCACCUCCGCCACGGGUUGGAGGUCGGUCCACUAUUGCACAAUCUUCGGGAUGAGCCCACAUUCU